rnacentral:pre_miRNA from 1 species
CAAGUACUCCCUCCGUCCGGAAUUACUUGUCAUCAAAAUGGAUGUGUCUAGAACUAAAAUACAUCUAAAUACAUCCAUUUCAAUGACAAGUAUUUUCGGACGGAGGGAGUACAAG